rnacentral:rRNA from 1 species
GUGUCAGCCGCCGCGGUAAUACGUAGGGGGCGAGCGUUGUCCGGAUUUAUUGGGCGUAAAGAGCUCGUAGGCGGUUCGGUAAGUCAGAUGUAAAAACUCCAGGCUCAACUUGGAGAGGCCAUCUGAUACUGCCGUGACUAGAGUCCGGUAGAGGAGCACGGAAUUCCUGGUGUAGCGGUGAAAUGCGCAGAUAUCAGGAGGAACACCAGCGGCGAAGGCGGUGCUCUGGGCCGGAACUGACGCUGAGGAGCGAAAGCGUGGGGAGCGAACAGGAUUAGAUACCCGAGUAGUCC